UAGAGAAAGCCUGCGCGCAGCAAGAAAGACCCAACGCAGCCAAACAUAAAUUUAAAAAAAAAAAGAGAGAAAGAAAUCCACAAGCAUCCUUCAGAUGGUGGUUCUAGCCACCCACACUGUCCCCCAGGGCAGCCCUUCUGCAAAGCCAGGAGAGAGAGGAAAACCUGCCCCACUCAGGUGGGCCGCGGCCCGGCCGGAUCCUGAUGCUUCUUGUUGAGAGCCGCCAGCCUGCCUCCCGGGCACAGGCAGACAGCAUGAAGAGGCCUCCUCACUCUGGACCGGUCAGAGAGGCAGACAGCAAAGCACUGUUUUGCCUUGGGGCGGGGUCCACACAGAGCUCCUGUCCGGGAAGCCGUGGUGUAGAGAAAGGAUGAUCUCCCAACCCCAUCCUGAGCAUUCUGAGUGGAAACCAGACCCCAUGGGUGCCCAGCCAGGAUCAGUUUGGCAGAAGUACCUGGAGUGUGAGAAACUAAUACGAUCCAUUCAACUUGAAGGCUAAUUUUAUAUGACUGUGUCCAUUUUUCCCCCAAGAAAUUUCACACCUUGACACAAACGAGGAGAUUCUAAGAAAGAGAAAUUUAAUGAAAAUGCCUUUUUCUCUUUCUCACCUGUCAUCUCCGGCUCAGCUGCCUGCAAGAGCCCGCACUUGCCUCUCCAUCUUCACGCUCUUCUCCACACAGCAGCCAGAGUGAUCCUGUUAAAUCGUAAGGCAGAUCAUAGCUCUCCUCUGCUGAAACUUCCAGUGGUCUCUGAGUGAGUUGAACUGUGUCCAAGUCCUAACCCCCAGUAUCUGUGAAUGUUAACUUAGUUGGAAAUAGGGCCUUGCAGAUGUAAUUAAGUUAAAGAUCUCAAGAUGCUAUCAUAUUGGAUUUAGGUUCUAAAUCCAAUGACUGGUAUCCUAAUAUAAAAAAGGUACAGAGUAUAACUGAAUCACUUUGCUGUACAGCAGAAAUUAACACAACAUUGUAAAUCAACUAUACUUCAAUAAAACGUUUUAAAUUUCUAUUUCUUUCUCUAAAAAAAAAAGAGGGCACAGAGCACACACACACAGAGAAUAGCAGGUGUAGACGGAGACAGACUUUGGAGGGAUAUAGCAACAGCCAAGGAGCACAUGGGCCCACCAGAAGCUGGGAGAGGCAGGGAAGGCUCCCCCCAACCCAGAUUCUUUGCAGGGACCAUGGCCAAUACCCUGAUUUUGGACUUCUGGCCUCCAGAGCUAUGAGAAAAUACAUUUCUGUCUUAAAUCACCAAGUUUGUGGUACUUUGUUGCCACAGCCCUAGAAAAUGAACAGUCCCUUACUGCAAUUAGAAAAGAA